rnacentral:sRNA from 1 species
AGACCCCAAAGCACAACUUGAAGGGAAAAGGUACGGCAGGAACCGUCCAAUGCGUUACCUGCAAAGACAGCAGCCGGCUUUGGUGUAGGCUUAUGUGUAGCACGGUUGAUGAUGAAGCGCCGGCCGUGUAAAUGAAGAUCGGGUGAGCAGCAGGACGAUGCCCAAGGGUGGGUGCCCUAAAGCACCACAGCAGGAAGAGCUUCCCCUCAGCAGCGACAUGGUGGAGAAGCAGACUGGGAAAAAGGAUAAAGAUAAAGUUUCUCUAACCAAGACCCCAAAACUGGAGCGUGGCGAUGGCGGGAAGGAGGUGAGGGAGCGAGCCAGCAAGCGGAAGCUGCCCUUCACUGCGGGCGCCAAUGGGGAGCAGAAGGACUCGGACACAGGACCGCCGGGGUCCUGCUUGUCCCGGGGCAGCCACGAGGGAGCCCUCGUCAGGAGCGCCAUGGGCCGAAGCUGCCUGCCCUCUGCACGUGGAUGUUUCUUUGGAACAAGGGGAAAAAUGAUGAUUUUCUUACUUUGCUUUGACCUGUGAAUGACACCCUGGUGUCUGGUGCCUGGGGUGUGCUCUCUGCAGUGCUGC